GCCUGGCUGGCUCAGUUGAUAGAGCAUGUGACUGCUGAUCUCAGGGUUGUGAGUUCAAGCCCCAUGUUGGGCU